rnacentral:pre_miRNA from 1 species
UUUCUCAAGAAGGUGGCAUUCAUGUGAACUAAAAUAUGAUGUCACUUUUUUGAGAAG